rnacentral:rRNA from 1 species
UACGAGGGGAGCGAGCGUUGUUCGGAAUUAUUGGGCGUAAAGGGCACGUAGGCGGUGAAUCGGGUUGAAAGUGAAAGUCGCCAAAAAAGUGGCGGAAUGCUCUCGAAACCAAUUCACUUGAGUGAGACAGAGGAGAGUGGAAUUUCGUGUGUAGGGGUGAAAUCCGUAGAUCUACGAAGGAACGCCAAAAGCGAAGGCAGCUCUCUGGGUCCCUACCGACGCUGGGGUGCGAAAGCAUGGGGGAGCGAACAGG